rnacentral:snRNA from 11 species
AUCGCUUCUCAGCCUUUUGGCUAAGCGUAGUAUCUGUUCUUUUCAGUUUAAUAUCUGAUAUGUUCUCUAUUUGACAUGUAGAAUAAUCACAGAAUCCUGAAACCUACACCUGCAGCUAAACUAUAUAAGCUAGCUGGCAUUCUCC